CGUUGUGUGGUACGGUGCACCCUGAGAGAUGAUCUAUAUUCUCAGGAAGUUCCGUGCCCGAAACG
rnacentral:pre_miRNA from 1 species